UCCCGGAUAGCUCAGUUGGCAGAGCGGCGGACUGUUAAUCCGCGCGUCCCAGGUUCGAUCCCUGGUCCGGGAG
rnacentral:tRNA from 1 species